CCUGGUGGUCUUAGCGAGGGCCCCAACACCCGAUCCCAUCUCGAACUCGGCCGUGAAAUCCCUCCGCGCCAAUGGUACUGCUGCUUAAGCAUCGGAAGAGUAGGUCGCUGCCAGGC
rnacentral:rRNA from 1 species